AAGUCGUAACAAGGUAACCGUAGGUGAACCUGCGGUUGGAUCAUUAAAAAAUUUAAAAAAAGUUUUUUUAAUCUUUCUGUAAAGAAAUUUUAAAAUUCUUUUUAACAUUUUGUGCACUGUAAUUUAUUUAUUCUAGCGGGGAUUUAAAAUAGGCCGAAAAAAAAAUUUUAUUUUUUUUUAGGCUGGAGAUUUUUAUUUCUUAGGCCCAAAAAGUCUUUGAAAUAAAUAUUUUUACUCGCUAGAAAAUAAUUUUAACUUUAUUUUUUAUAUUGCCUUUAGAUUAAUUUAAUAAAAGUUUAACUUAAAAAAAUAACUUUUGACAACGGAUCUCUAGGCUCUC
rnacentral:misc_RNA from 1 species